GUCUACGACCAUACCACCAUGAAUGCGCCCGAUCUCGUCUGAUCUUGGAAGCUAAGCGGGGUCGGGCCUGGUUAGUACUUGGAUGGGAGAAGUAACUUAGAAAACAUUCCUUUUUUAUAUC
rnacentral:rRNA from 1 species